ACGGGUGAGUAAUAUAUCGGAACGUGCCCAGUCGUGGGGGAUAACUGUUCGAAAGAACAGCUAAUACCGCAUACGACCUGAGGGUGAAAGCGGGGGAUCGCAAGACCUCGCGCGAUUGGAGCGGCCGAUAUCAGAUUAGGUAGUUGGUGGGGUAAAAGCCCACCAAGCCAACGAUCUGUAGCUGGUCUGAGAGGACGACCAGCCACACUGGGACUGAGACACGGCCCAGACUCCUACGGGAGGCAGCAGUGGGGAAUUUUGGACAAUGGGCGCAAGCCUGAUCCAGCCAUGCCGCGUGCGGGAAGAAGGCCUUCGGGUUGUAAACCGCUUUUGUCAGGGAAGAAAAGGUUCUGGUUAAUACCUGGGACUCAUGACGGUACCUGAAGAAUAAGCACCGGCUAACUACGUGCCAGCAGCCGCGGUAAUACGUAGGGUGCAAGCGUUAAUCGGAAUUACUGGGCGUAAAGCGUGCGCAGGCGGUUAUGCAAGACAGAGGUGAAAUCCCCGGGCUCAACCUGGGAACUGCCUUUGUGACUGCAUAGCUAGAGUACGGUAGAGGGGGAUGGAAUUCCGCGUGUAGCAGUGAAAUGCGUA
rnacentral:rRNA from 1 species